CCAGACUCCUACGGGAGGCAGCAGUGGGGAAUAUUGGACAAUGGGGGGAACCCUGAUCCAGCGACGCCGCGUGAGUGAAGAAGUAUUUCGGUAUGUAAAGCUCUAUCAGCAGGGAAGAAAGAAAUGACGGUACCUGACUAAGAAGCCCCGGCUAACUACGUGCCAGCAGCCGCGGUAAUACGUAGGGGGCAAGCGUUAUCCGGAUUUACUGGGUGUAAAGGGAGCGUAGACGGCGAUGCAAGUCUGAAGUGAAAGCCCGGGGCUCAACCCCGGGACUGCUUUGGAAACUGUGUAGCUAGAGUGCUGGAGAGGCAAGCGGAAUUCCUAGUGUAGCGGUGAAAUGCGUAGAUAUUAGGAAGAACACCAGUGGCGAAGGCGGCUUGCUGGACAGUAACUGACGUUGAGGCUCGAAAGCGUGGGGAGCAAACAGGAUUAGAUACCCCGGUAUC
rnacentral:rRNA from 1 species